rnacentral:lncRNA from 1 species
CUGCCUAUAGGAAUUUGGGUCGCUUUCGUCUUUCUUGGUGAGUUCAACAACAAUGAGUUUCGGUGGACUACCUCCUCAGCUACUUCAGCUUCUGCACUGCAGGGCGAUGACAGCCUCAUUACAGCGGUGGUCGCCUCUUCCUUGGUUCUGGUGAGUUCCUGGUCUCCUCCCUCUCUCCCUUAUGCCUUGAGAUUAUCCAGCCAUUGAGUCAUGGCUGAUUAUCGAGCCAAUCAUAGGGUUCGGUUAUGUGGUCAUGUUGUCUGUGGUGGUGGUCUUCUGCCCACCAGAGUCUUGUGAUUGUGAUGAUCUUGUUGAUGAAUUGCCCCAUGUGGUGAUUAGGCCCUUGUGCUAUUUUACGCUAUUUGUGAUGGUUUGAUAUUUAUUUAGGAUCUUGGUGUGCUACUGCCUAGGGUGUAGAACUUGAUAUGGAAGGAACAAAUCUUUUACUGCACUUGCUGCACCUUGAAAACUUAAGUUUCAAAUUGGAGAUUCAAUUCAGGUUGACAUGUGUCUCCUGUAAUAUACAAGGAAACAUCUAUUUCACCUCCAGUUGCCGCGCUUGCAAGAUUGUAUGUUAACUGUUAAACUAUCUUUAUGUCUGAAAGGGAAUGAGCUUCCUAACUAUGCAUAGUCAUGUAAUUUCAAGUAGUUAUGACGCAGUCUUCAAUCUCUCUCUGGCACUCUGCAUACUAUGACAGUCACCCUGUAUAGACGCCAUUUGAAGGAUUUUAUGCUUACCUUGGUCUGCAUGUAUGAAGUGCGAUUUAUCUAUGAGCAACUUGCUAUUGGUUUUAGCAAAGAUGUACUUCCUCCGUUCCUAAAUAUAAGUCUUUUAGAGAUUCUAAUGCGGACACAUACAUAACAAAAUGAGUGAAUCUACACUCUACAGUAUGUCUAUAUACAUCCGUAUGCAGUCCUUAUUGCAGUUCAUAGAUUCAUAUAAUACUAGAUAGUAGCUUAUCUUCUCUUGGUAUUUACAUAUAUAUUUGAUGCUCUUAGAUGGACACUCAAACUCCUGCUUUUAGAUAUGGUAAUGGCUCACUAAGGGCAUUUCCAACGCGGAUCACCAGAACAGCCCUCACCAAAUGUCUAUGGACAGGGAUAGGGGUGGAGACAUCCAACCACAAUCACCAAAUGUCCGCCCCUGGUCCAGCCUCCUCCAUUUGACAUGCAUAUCUAGAUCAAUACCAAUUUAAGCAUACGUUUAAUAGUUGCAAACAUAUGCACCGGAUCUUCAAUAUGUUUUUACAGAUUCCAAAAGUUGCUAGUCCGGCUGUCCAUGUCAAAGACCUUCAUCGGCUCCCAUUCCGGCUGUCUGUGGCAAAGACCUCACUCUUUGGCUUCUCCGGCCUCCUCCCUUUGCGCGAAGCGCUUCAAUAUGCUCACACGCUAGGCUUGGACAAUCUUCGCCGCAUCGGAAUCCAAGUCCGACGUUUUCACGAACAACAUUUUGGAGUCCUCCGAAGCGGCCUUGAUCUCAAGCUUCUUCUCUUGGAGCUUGAGCUUCUUGUCUUGCAUCUCCAUGAAGAUGCCAAAUCUCUCCCCCUUAUUUCCCUCUUUCACCUCAUUGCGUGCGACACUUGCCUCCUCCUUCGUCAUGAUGUCCUUGAACUUCUUCGUCAUCUUGGCCGCCGCCCCUUCUCCCUUCUUUUUCCCCUCCUCCCACUUCCUUCCCUGGUUCCUAAUCACCUUCUUGGCCAAAGCAAGUCCAUCUUGUCUUGGAACGGUUGGAUCACCACCUUCGUCUUCAUUGAGCAUGGCGUUGACGGAAUUGGCAAUCAAGGCGGUCCACUUGCUUUGCCCAUUCAACUUCAACUAACAAUGCAUAUAGAUGAAGUGCUUCUUCUCCAUCUUGUGAUAUAAUGUGCAUGCACGUACGACCGAGCAAAGGAAGACAAUGGAUGGUCAACAAGUUGCAACAUUGAGCAAAUCAAUGAAAUGACCAACACAUAGAGCAACAAGGCACACAACUUAUGAGAUCUUGGAUUGCCGCGCUACUUGGCCAUCAGGUUUUCACUUAAUUGUAAAAGCUGCAGAACUUGUUGAUGCCCUCUUUGAAUGUUGUACAUUUGAUGGUUGAGCGACUUUGAAUUGCGCUGAUGGAUCACUUCCUUGUGGUAGGGAUUGUAGUGCUUUUGCUCGUGAAACCAAAUAUGCAUGCUUUGCUAAAAUGCCACGCUCUGUUACUAGUGGCCAACCAAUGCCUCACAACAACUCAUCCUCCUUUGGGGAGAAAUUUAGUCCCUCUGCUUCUUCUUUGGGUCGACGCCCGGCGCCCACUGCUCAUCCGGAUCCAUGUGCGGCUGCUGGGUGUCCAACUGCUGGGUGCAUGUUUGUUGGGUGUCCUACUGUGGUUGUUUCUACGGCUAGGAGUCAUCCACUUAUUCGUCUUCGUAGCUGCUUUCGUCGUGGAUAAUGUUCAUCAUCGCCUCGUCGGCUACCGCUGUCCCGCUUGGAUGGGGCAUUCCGGCAAACAUUGAUUGGGCAUCGACGGACGAGCAGUCCACAGCCGCCAUCCGCGAUCGGACAAGCUCCCGUGACUGCGACUCCGUGAAGGCAUAGUCGGUGUUGAGGUCGACGGUGAGACUUGAUGGCUGGAGGUGGAGGAGGACGUGGACUGUUGCGGCGAUUGCUGUGGAAUGAGGUGCUGGGAGGCGUAGUAGUAGAGUGGCUUCAGCUGGGAUGGCCACGACGUCGAUUGCCUGGGCGACACCAGGGUGGCGGCGCACUUUGACCGGCCGCCGAUGAACCCCCCGCCUUCUUAUUCGCCCUGUGAUGGCGGGUGCUGCGCUCCGCAGACGCGGCCUUGCGGGCGGCCACCACGGUCGGGGUCCUCUGGCUCCAUCACGGUGGCGCCUGAACGGUGUUGGUGGUGGUGGUGUGCGUGUGUGUGUGUGUGUGUGGGGGGGGGGGUUGGAGGCAGUGGGAAAGGGUGGGCUUUCCCGCGGAAACAGUGGUGGGAAUGUCCAAAUGUGCGUGCUUUGGAUGGGGUUCUUGGGUCGGUCGGGCGUGUCUGAGUCUGACGCGGCGAACGUCCGGACGCCUGUAAACCUCCCCAACGUUUGGUUCCAGUUUGUGGGAUUUCGGACAUCUGGACCGGUCUGGACAAAUUUGGUGACCUUUGUUGGAUGGCAAAAAAAAUGUCCUAACAGUCCAGUCCGGACAUUUAGUGGCGAUUUGUUGAUCCGCGUUGGAGUUGCCCUAACCCGGCAUGGUUUAGGUUCAGGUUCUAACCAUCAAGAACAUGUUCCUUAUUUAUCUCUCCCGUUGUCCGGGAUGUUUGGUAGCAACUAAUCUUGACGUGUGAACAGGUUGGUCAUGGCGUCACGUGCACACAGACCUGCAGCUCUCGUUUCCAUGACCUGGUGGUCGUUGUCACGGUCUCGGAUGACGGUGGUUCACCACCUUGCUUCCAGUGCCGAUGAGACAAUGGGGUUGUCACCCCGUAAUCUCGUAAUCUCAGCGUCGGCUCCCACGACUGCCUCCUCGGCUACCACUACUUAGGUGAGUCCUUGGUCUCUCCUUUCUCCUCUGUCUGUUCUGGGAUCUAGCCUUCGUGCUAUGGCCAUACUGUGCAGUCAUCUCAUUGCAUAUCUGGUAGUUUCAAACAUCGUGCAGUAUGUGCCAAUUUCUUCCGCCUCAAUUUUUUUUGGCAUGAAAGAAUAAUUUGAUAGCUUUGAUUCAUUUUAUCAAUUAGACCUCUGUUGUCAAAUAGAACAAUGUGCACUUAGUUAAAUUUCUAAUAUUGCUGCUUCCCUUUUGAUUUAGGAUAUUUUUGGGACCAUUGAGUUUAUAUGAUCUUUUGACUGUCUGGCGCAGUGGGGAGGAUCUGCCCACUUGUGCCAAGAGGUCAUGGGUUCGACACAGUCCCUCUGCAUUGCACUGUGCAGGGGUAAGGCUUGCUUCAUAUGACUCCAUUGGCGUAGGGCGGCCGGAAUUGGGCGCGACGGCAGCUGUGGGGUGAAGUUUCACUUUGGGUGUUGGGGUUCCCGCCGCAGCCCUUUUGGUUUUCGGGCAGCUGUUAGUGGUGAUGUGUAAUUUGCAUCACCUGUAGCAAUUUUUUGGGCACGACCUAAAUUUUUUUGGGCACCAUAUAUACCUGUAGUGCUGCUGUUGGAGGCGUUUUAUUUGACCCCCACCCCAAGUGACCUAAAAAGCAUUUUUUUGGGCACAGCUGCAUUUUUAGGGCUGCUGUUGGGGAUGCUCAUGUAGUUAUCACGCAGUGUUCAGACUCUGCAUUCUAUGACGGUCACCCUGUAUUGACACCAUUUGAUUAAUCUUAUGUUACCUUGGUCUGCUUGUAUGAAGUGCCAUUUAUUUAUCUUUGAGCAAUCUGCUAUUGGUGUUAGCAAAGCCGUAUUUGUUUGUAAUCUGGCAAUGGUUUAUAGGUCUCGUUUACUUGAUAGCAAAUUCACAAUGGUUCAACUGAAUCUUGAUUUAUCUACAUUUUUUUUAAGUUUUUGGUUAGCUGCAACUCACGGGUCCUUGUCAGUCUGUUACAUAAUCUAAAGACUAAAGAGCCAUGGACUUUUUCCACUUAUUUAGUCAGCACCUUUGUUCUGCAUUUUGUUCACUAGAGAGAUCUGAUUCGGCUGUUUGAAUAUUACAGGAGAGCAUAACAACAACAACAACAAAGCCUUUAGUCCCAAACAAGUUGGGGUAGGCUAGAGGUGAAACCCAUAAGAUCUCGCAACCAACUCAUGGCUCUGGCACAUGGAUAGCAAGCUUCCACGCACCCCUGUCCAUAGCUAGCUCUUUGGUGAUACUCCAAUCCUUCAGGUCUCUCUUAACGGACUCCUCCCAUGUCAAAUUCGGUCUACCCCGCCCUCUCUUGACAUUCUCUGCACGCUUUAGCCGUCCGCUAUGCACUGGAGCUUCUGGAGGCCUGCGCUGAAUAUGCCCAAACCAUCUCAGACGAUGUUGGACAAGCUUCUCCUCAAUUGGUGCUACCCCAACUCUAUCUCGUAUAUCAUCAUUCCGGACUCGAUUCUUCCUCGUGUGGCCACACAUCCAUCUCAACAUACGCAUCUCCGCCACACCUAACUGUUGAACAUGUCGCCUUUUAGUCGGCCAACACUCCGCGCCAUACAACAUUGCGGGUCGAACCGCCGUCCUGUAGAACUUGCCUUUUAGCUUUUGUGGCACUCUCUUGUCACAGAGAAUGCCAGAAGCUUGGCGCCACUUCAUCCAUCCGGCUUUGAUUUGAUGGUUCACAUCUUCAUCAAUACCCCCAUCCUCCUGCAACAUUGACCCCAAAUACCGAAAGGUGUCCUUCCGAGGUACCACCUGGCCAUCAAGGCUAACCUCCUCCUCCUCACACCUAGUAGUACUGAAACCGCACAUCAUGUACUCGGUUUUAGUUCUACUAAGCCUAAACCCUUUCGAUUCCAAGGUUUGUCUCCAUAACUCUAACUUCCUAUUUACCCCCGUCCGACUAUCGUCAACUAGCACCACAUCAUCCGCAAAGAGCAUACACAAUGGGAUAUCUCCUUGUAUAUCCCUUGUGACCUCAUCCAUCACCAAUGCAAAAAGAUAAGGGCUCAAAGCUGACCCCUGAUGCAGUCCUAUCUUAAUCGGGAAGUCAUCGGUGUCGACAUCACUUGUUCGAACACUUGUCACAACAUUAUCGUACAUGUCCUUGAUGAUGGUAAUGUACUUUGCUGGGACUUUGUGUUUCUCCAAGGCCCACCACAUGACAUUCCGCGGUAUCUUAUCAUAGGCCUCCUCCAAGUCAAUGAACACCAUAUGCAAGUCCUUCUUUUGCUCCCUAUAUCUCUCCAUAAGUUGUCGUACCAAGAAAAUGGCUUCCAUGGUCGACCUCCCAGGCAUGAAACCAAACUGAUUUUUGGUCACGCUUGUCAUUCUUCUUAAGCGGUGCUCAAUGACUCUCUCCCAUAGCUUCAUUGUAUGGCUCAUCAGCUUAAUUCCACGGUAAUUAGUACAACUCUGAACAUCCCCCUUGUUCUUGAAGAUUGGUACUAAUAUACUCCGUCUCCAUUCUUCUGGCAUCUUGUUUGCCCGAAAAAUGAGGUUGAAAAGCUUGGUUAGCCAUACUAUUGCUAUGUCCCCGAGACCUUUCCACACCUCAAUGGGGAUACAAUCAGGGCCCAUCGCCUUGCCUCCUUUCAUCCUUUUUAAAGCCUCCUUCACCUUAGACUCCUGGAUUCGCCGCACAAAACGCAUGCUGGUCUCAUCAAAGGAGUCGUCUAGUUCAAUGGUAGAACUCUCAUUCUCCCCAUUGAACAGCUUGUCGAAGUACUCCCGCCAUCUAUGCUUAAUCUCCUCGUCCUUCACCAAGAGUUGGCCUGCUCCGUCCUUGAUGCAUUUGACUUGGCCAAUGUCCCUCGUCUUCCUCUCUCGGAUCUUGGCCAUCUUAGAGAUGUCCCUUUCACCUUCCUUCGUGCCUAACCGUUGGUAGAGGUCCUCAUAUGGCCGACCCCUUGCUUCACCAACAGCUCGCUUUGCGGCCUUCUUCGCCAUCUUGUACUUCUCUAUGUUGUCUGCACUCCUAUCCAGGUAUAGGCGUCUGAAGCAAUCUUUCUUCUCUUUAAUCGCCUUCUGGACGUCAUCAUUCCACCACCAGGUAUCCUUAUCUUCGCUUCUCCUUCCCCUGGACACUCCAAACUCCUCCGAGGCCACCUUACGAAUGCAAGUCGCCAUCUUCAUCCACACAUUGUCCGCAUCCACUCCUUCCUCCCAAGGGCCCUCCUUAAUGACCCUCUCCUUGAACACCUGAGCUACCUCCCCCUUGAGCUUCCACCACUUCGUUCUAGCGACUUUGGCACGCUUAUUCCGCUGGACACGAAUCCGAAAGCGGAAGUCAGCAACCACCAGCUUAUGCUGGGGUACAACACUCUCUCCAGGUAUCACCUUACAGUCUAGGCACGCACGCAUAUCUUCUCUUCUCGAGAGGAUGAGAUCAAUCUGGCUAGAGUGUUGGCCACUACUAAAAGUCACCAGAUGUGAUUCUCUCUUUCUAAAGAGGGUGUUAGCUACAAUCAUGUUGUAGGCUAGAGCAAAGCUUAAGACAUCUUCUCCUUCUUGAUUCCUGAUGCCAUGGCCAAAGCCCCCAUGCGCCCUUCAAAACCUGUGUUAGAUGUACCCACGUGGCCAUUGAGGUCUCCUCCUAUGAAGAGCUUCUCACCAAUCGGUACACUCCUAACCAUGUCUUCCAGGCCUUCCCAGAACUCCCUCUUGGUGUUCUCAUUGUGGCCUACUUGCGGGGCAUACGCGCUGAUAACAUUGAGAACCAAGUCCUCAACUACCAGCUUGACCAAGAUAAUCCGGUCCCCACGUCUCUUGACGUCUACCACUCCAUACUUGAGGCUCUUGUUGAUCAAGAUGCCUACGCCAUUUCUGUUUGCAGUCGUCCCCGUGUACCACAACUUGAAGCCGGUAUCCUCCACCUCCUUCGCCUUCUGUCCUCUCCAUUUGGUUUCUUGGACGCAAAGGAUAUCAACACCUCUCCUCACCGCUGCAUCAACUAGCUCCCGAAGCUUCCCUAUCAGAGACCCUACGUUCCAGCUACCUAAGCGAAUCCUCCUAGGCUCGGCUAGCUUCCUUACCCUUCGCAUCCGUCGAGUCAAAUGCGAAGACCCUUGCUCAUUUUCCACUACACCCGGGCGCCGAUGUAGCGCGCCACUAAGGAUGCGAUGACCCGAUCCUCGCUCACUUGCCACCGUAUCCGGAUCAAGAUACGGCGCGCCACUUGGGGGGUGACGGCCCGGCCCUUGCCCACUUUCCACCACACCCGGGUUCCGAUGUGGCGCGUCGCUGAGAGGGUUACGCCCCAACGAAAAUCUUUUGGGUUUCAUCUCCAUAAGAGUGGCUGAGUUUUUACGUUGGCUCGCCAAGCCUAUCACAACCCUCCUCCUUUACCCGGGCUUGGGACCGGCUAUGUUGAGACAACAACUACAGGAGAGCAUAGGUAAAGAAAAUAAAAUACUCUGGAACACAAUGACUUUCAUAUUGCAUUUUUGUCCGUAUGACCUGACUGGCUUUCUUUUUUCCUCCACACCCUUAUGUUGCUUUGUGUGCCCAUGGCCAUCACGCCGAUGCAAUUUCUAGGAUUUGGUUUGUGGUUGGUCAUCUGAUCAUGGCUUCCUCUACUACGUAGGGAUAUGAUGCCUGUGCUCAGUUUGUGUAGAGACUGAGUGCGUGUCUGUUUUGAUCUUCCGAUGGUUGCUAUGCUUGUCCCGGUUAAUAUGAGUUGCUGAUAUAAAAUGCUCAGUGGUGAAAGUAACUGUUAAUCUUUUGCUGGCUGCCAUUUUGAAAUAAAAUGCAGUGCAGGUACUUUCAUGGUGUUAACUUUUAGAGAGAGAAGACAUGGUCGAAUGCAGUGCAAAAUUAAUGUUGCUUUGGCACGAUUGUCCUUUACGUGUUGCUUCCUCUGUUCUUUGUGAUACCUUUUUUUAUACUAACCUUGUGAUGCUUUCUAGUAACCUUAUUUCUUGGCCAUUAAUCAAUAUUGUUUGGCCUGACUUGAUGUUGAUGGUGAAGAAGGUGAAGAAAUCUGUGCUGGAGGGGAUGGUGGAUCCGCAACCACCGAGGAAGGUCGUUUAACUGCAGAAGUUCGAUCUUCCAGAGGCCAGGGCGAUCCCGGGCGGCAUGCACCAUCCGGUGGUGCCCCGGCAGAUGAUUGACCUAUGGAGCUUAUAGUGCCGUUUGGUCUAUUGGAAGUCCGGUGGUACUGGUUUCCUUUAUAUUUCCCACUUCUGUAUUUCUGAGCUUGCCAUUGUGUGUUUCUGCUGAAUGUGAGUGGUGUUGUUCCGGUUGUGUGGAUCAGCUCCGGCGAGAACCUGAUGGGUUCUUUUGCUGGGUUUGUAAAAGUGCUUGUCUAUUUGAAACGCAUGCUACCAAGCCCAAGUUGAAACGAAACCGAUGUAGGUUUCUGCUGGUCUCAUGCUUGAGUUCCAUAAAAGCCUCUCCUGGCCGCCGCGGCCAAGGCUGCUCCGGUGGCUGCAAGGAUUAAUGACUCAGGGCUGUUCCAUAG